GCUAGGUACAGUGGGGGCAUGCCUGUAAUCCCAGAGACUGGGAGGCUGAGGCAGGAGGAUCACAAGUUCUGGCUAGCCUGGGCAAAUUAGUGAGGCCCUGUCUCAA
rnacentral:sRNA from 1 species